UCAGGAGGAGAGGAAGAAGCUUUAUAUGCCACAUUGUCACAAUUUCCACACGUAAACUGAAAUUUUGGCACUGAGAACUGAUGUAGUUUGUUAAGGAAAGUGUUUGCUCAUAAAGAAGUGAAAAGAUUAUCCCAGCCGUCCAAAGGUCUGAACGCGUUAUUCCGUCUUAAACAAAGCAAGGCGACAAAGCAGUGUCUCGUAACAACCGUCUAAGUUGAGAUUGGACGCACUCCCAGAAAUGACGUCAGAUUCGUGUUCGCCAGCGCCCGCACCCAUGUCAACGUUGUCUUGCGUUUGUCGUAUAGUCAACUUGCAGGGCUGACAUUUGAUUUGGUUUGAAAUGCAAUGUUUGCUUUGGGUUGUAAUUUUCUGCAUCAAAACGUGUAUCGAAUGAAGUGCAGCGUGCAACAAAUGUUUUAUUCAUGAAACUUCUAAUAAAAUGGACUAAAUCCAAGCGUCAACCCUGCACGUCGCUCGCUUAUUAUUAUACAUGUGUAAAUAAGUUGUAGUACAGUACUCUAUCCGCACACGAUGUUUUCAUUGUGAUUUAUUUAUUUUUUGUUCAUGCCCACCAGUUCACGAACCUGAAACGACACUUUUGAAGUUAUCCUUAAACAAAAAAUGAUUUGCUUAAGUGAUCUAUGAAAAUAAAAUUAAUUGUUGUAAAAUUAUCAUCAAGUGAUGUGCAGGUAGAGCACUGUGCUAGUACUACCGGUUUAAUAUUUCAUUGUAAAAUUUUGUGUGAGUCAGGGCCGUAGUCUGAGCAAAAUGCCAGGGGGGGCAGUAAGCGGACA